rnacentral:rRNA from 1 species
CCUACGGGAGGCAGCAGUGGGGAAUAUUGGACAAUGGGGGCAACCCUGAUCCAGCCAUGCCGCGUGAGUGAUGACGGCCUUAGGGUUGUAAAGCUCUUUUCUCCGGGACGAUAAUGACGGUACCGGAGGAAUAAGCCCCGGCUAACUUCGUGCCAGCAGCCGCGGUAAUACGAAGGGGGCUAGCGUUGCUCGGAAUCACUGGGCGUAAAGGGCGCGUAGGCGGCUGACUUAGUCGAGGGUGAAAGCCCGUGGCUCAACCACGGAAUGGCCUUCGAUACUGGUUGGCUUGAGACCGGAAGAGGACAGCGGAACUGCGAGUGUAGAGGUGAAAUUCGUAGAUAUUCGCAAGAACACCAGUGGCGAAGGCGGCUGUCUGGUCCGGUUCUGACGCUGAGGCGCGAAAGCGUGGGGAGCAAACAGGAUUAGAUACCCUGGUAGUCCACGCUGUAAACGAUGAAUGCUAGCCGUUGGUCUGNNUNNGUNAGUGCGCGCACGCAUANANUCGUCCGUCGGAGGUACGGUCGCGAGAUAAACUACAAGAAGUAGAGCGNGAGAGNGCGACGACGACGACGAGGGAGAGG